rnacentral:rRNA from 1 species
GUNCCAGCAGCCGCGGUAAUNCGNAGGGUGCAAGCGUUAAUNGGAAUUACUGGGCGUAAAGCGCACGCAGGCGGUCUGUCAAGUCGGAUGUGAAGUCCCCGGGCUUAACCUGGGAACUGCAUUCGAAACUGGCAGGCUAGAGUCUUGUAGAGGGGGGUAGAAUUCCAGGUGUAGCGGUGAAAUGCGUAGAGAUCUGGAGGAAUACCGGUGGCGAAGGCGGCCCCCUGGACAAAGACUGACGCUCAGGUGCGAAAGCGUGGGGAGCAAACAGGAUUAGAUACCCUGGUAGUCCACGCCGUAAACGAUGUCGACUUGGAGGUUGUUCCCUUGAGGAGUGGCUUCCGGAGCUAACGCGUUAAGUCGACCGCCUGGGGAGUACGGCCGCAAGGUUAAAACUCAAAUGAAUUGACGGGGGCCCGCACAAGCGGUGAGCAUGUGGUUUAAUUCGAUGCAACGCGAAGAACCUUACCUACUCUUGACAUCCAGAGAACUUAGCAGAGAUGCUUUGGUGCCUUCGGGAACUCUGAGACAGGUGCUGCAUGGCUGUCGUCAGCUCGUGUUGUGAAAUGUUGGGUUAAGUCCCGCAACGAGCGCAACCCUUAUCCUUUGUUGCCAGCGGGUUAUGCCGGGAACUCAAAGGAGACUGCCAGUGAUAAACUGGAGGAAGGUGGGGAUGACGUCGAGUCAUCAUGGCCCUUACGAGUAGGGCUACACACGUGCUACAAUGGCGCAUACAAAGAGAAGCGACCUCGCGAGAGCAAGCGGACCUCAUAAAGUGCGUCGUAGUCCGGAUCGGANNNUGCAACUCGANUCCGUGAAGUCGGAAUCGCUCGUAAUCGUAGACCAGAAUCCUNCGGUGAAUACGUUCCCGGGCCUNCCCACGCCGCCANNUAGG